ACUUCUUAGAGGGACAAGCAGUGCUCAGCUGCAUGAGAAAGAGCAAUAACAGGUCUGUGAUGCCCUUAGAUGUUCGGAGCUGCACGCGCGCUACACUGAAGGAAACAGUGUGUUAGCAAACCUGGCCUGAGAGGGCUGGGUAAUCCGGUGAAUAUCCUUCGUGAUUGGGAUAGGGGCUUGUAAUUAUUCCCCUUGAACGAGGAAUACCUAGUAAGUGCGGGUCAUCAGCCUGUGCUGAUUACGUCCCUGCCCUUUGUACUGAGCG
rnacentral:rRNA from 1 species